AUUGAACGCUGGCGGCAGGCUUAACACAUGCAAGUCGAGCGGAAACGAUGGUAGCUUGCUACCAGGCGUCGAGCGGCGGACGGGUGAGUAAUGCUUGGGAAUAUGCCUUUUGGUGGGGGACAACAGUUGGAAACGACUGCUAAUACCGCAUAAUGUCUGAGGACCAAAGCGGGGGACCUUCGGGCCUCGUGCCAAAAGAUUAGCCCAAGUGAGAUUAGCUAGUUGGUGGGGUAAAGGCCUACCAAGGCGACGAUCUCUAGCUGGUUUGAGAGGAUGAUCAGCCACACUGGGACUGAGACACGGCCCAGACUCCUACGGGAGGCAGCAGUGGGGAAUAUUGCACAAUGGGGGAAACCCUGAUGCAGCCAUGCCGCGUGUGUGAAGAAGGCCUU
rnacentral:rRNA from 1 species